CCCAAACAUAGAAUUCCAGGUUCUGUCUUUCUUCAAGGUUGUAAGAUGGAGGUGUAUGUAAUACGAGCUUCAUGUCUUGAUGCUCUUUCAAACUUCACUAGUGAUGUUCACUUUCUUUCAACAAUAAAUUAAACAGAUUCCCAGAUUAUGAGAGCCACAUUGUUAGUGCUGACCUUGACGGAGCGAGGUGUUCACCCAGUACCAUGUCAGUCUACACUAAAGCACGUGUGUGUGCACACACAGACAUGCACAAAAGAGCAGAAAGAAACCUCGGGAAGUUAAAUUGAAGACAUGAGUCUCCAAACACUGAAAAGUUGAAUGUUUUUGAGUACGUUUUGGUGUCUAAAAUAAACUGGAACAUGACACAUAUUUUAGAAGACUUCUCUCAAGCUGUUAAAAAAAUUAUCCUGGAAAUGGGUGAUUUUCUUGAGAUAAAUGUGAUGCUUAUAAUCAAAGAAGCCCAAAUACUUAUUUACAAAAUUUGAUCAGAAUAAGCGUGGAGGAUCCACUCUAACAGUCGCAUGGCGGUGUUUAGAGACUGGAGGACAAUUCCUAUUCCUUGCUCUCUCAUUAAUCAUUCAGGUGUCCCUGCCCCAUUCAGCUUGUGACCCAGAAUGAAGACAUGAGAAGAAAUCAGAAUGUUUUAGAAGUCUGGAAUUCACGAUCCAUUUGAGCUCAGCCUAUCAGCUGGACUUGGCAUUGGUGACUGGCAGACCCAGGGCCCUUGGAAAGCAUGGUUCACAAUGGGCAUCAGCUGGGACCAGUUUUUCCCAGAGGUUCACUGACUGUUCAUCUCUAGACAAGGUGCUGAGACCUGGGACAGACUCACAGUAUACAUUAACUGGAAGCCACACAGCCAGUCCUCCUGGUAAGCCGUGCAAAUCAUGCUGGGACCAGGAAGAGAGAAUCAGAUGGCACCUUCCAUGGGCUGAAAAUCAAGACUUGCGCCCCGUGGCCCUCCCUGUAAGCAACUGGCUGAUUCAGAGGACAGACU